GAUGAACGCUGGCGGCGUGCUUAACACAUGCAAGUCGAACGGAAAGGCUCCUGCUUGCAGGGGUACUCGAGUGGCGAACGGGUGAGUAACACGUGGGUGAUCUGCCCUGCACUUCGGGAUAAGCCUGGGAAACUGGGUCUAAUGCCGGAUAGGACGAUGGUUUGGAUGCCAUUGUGGAAAGUGUUUCGGUGUGGGAUGAGCUCGCGGCCUAUCGGCUUGUUGGUGGGGUAAUGGCCUACCAAGGCGUCGACGGGUAGCCGGCCUGAGAGGGUGUACGGCCACAUUGGGACUGAGAUACGGCCCAGACUCCUACGGGAGGCAGCAGUGGGGAAUAUUGCACAAUGGGCGCAAGCCUGAUGCAGCGACGCCGCGUGGGGGAUGACGGCCUUCGGGUUGUAAACUCCUUCCGCUAGGGACGAAGCGCAAGUGACGGUACCUGGAGAAGAAGCACCGGCUAACUACGUG
rnacentral:rRNA from 1 species